AAAAAUUCCCCCUGUAUUCCAUUUUGCUGCAUAGGCCUCACCUCUAUGAAUCCCAAAUCAGAUAAACCCUAGAUUCACAGAUCACAAAUCACAACAUCAUAGAAAAGAAAAGAAUUGUUUUCCCUUUUUCUUUCUCGAAUUGCAUUUUCUUACGGUAUCUGACCAUAUUCUCAGUCACCUAAAUCUCCAGCUUCAAGACCAACACUUUGGGAUUUAUCAUUUUCUUCUCUUGUUUUAUUUAGUAUGCAUAGAUCGGGAGCUGCUAUGGCUUGGAACGUA
rnacentral:misc_RNA from 1 species